rnacentral:rRNA from 1 species
UUGUAGAAUGAGGAAGAUUUAGGCCAUAACAGGUCUGUGAUGCUCUUAGAUGUCCUGGGCUGCACGCGUACUACAAUAACGGUACCAGCGAGCGCUAUGGUUUUUUAACCCCUUAUCCUAAUAGGAUUGGGUAAACUUUUCAAACACCGUUAUGACAGGGAUCGAGGAUUGGAACAUCCUCGUGAACGAGGAAUUCCUAGUAAGCGUGGUUCAUCAUACCACAUUGAUUACGUCCCUGCCUUUUGUACACACCGCCCGUCGCUCCUACCGAUGGGACGAAGAGAUGAACCUGGCGGACCAAACCGUAAGGUGAGGGAAACCAGUUAAAUCUAUUCGUCUGUAGGAAGGAAAAGUCGUAACAAGGUCUUCGUAGGUGAACCUGCGUAGGGAUCAUUU